rnacentral:lncRNA from 1 species
AUUUCGUGGUGGGUAUGAAAUGUAACAGAAAGCUUCUCUAACCUUUGUGUCAGGUAUACUUCGACAAGACAUGGGCCUAAUCAGUAGCUAAGACACAUGCAGAUGUCUUUCAGCUCCGCUUUCCUGGGACCCUAAAUUUGAGUUGCUGCUGGGAAGAGUGUUUUUCCAAUCACAGAAAACAAGCUGAGAGUUUUAAACUGAAGCAAACUUUUCUGGUGAGAAGGAAAAUUCAGAGAAACUGGGAUAAUAUUAAUUGGAUCCUGGAAAGACAAGCACUCCAAAACUUCGUCUUCAUCAUCUGAUCACAGUUGAAAAACUGAUGCAUUUGAAAUGGCAGAAGCUUUUUAAUGUGGAACUGUUUGGCAGCCAAGAUAGACUCCACUCUCAGUUUUAACAGUAUAAGUACAGAACAUAGUGAACGACAGAGGAGAAAAAUAAAAAAUAAUUUAAAAAAGAAAAUCAAUAUACUGCAUAGAUGGUGAAAAAAUGCAGCAAAUCAUGUAAAAAUGACUUACUUCGGUCUGAAUUAGCUUUCAGAAGUGUUGCUGCUGUAGCUACUUCUCAGUGCACACAUUGGUGGCUCAGAGGCUGGAGGGGAGGACCAGUGGUACUGCAGGACCCCUGCUCAGUGCCUGUCAUCAGUGAACCCUACUGCUGCACAAUGCAUGUCUGA